CUCAAUCUCCAAAGACAUCCCUUAAUAAAUAAAAAUAUAUAUAAGGUACUAUUUAUAGUAGAAGAAAUAGCCCAUGCCUUGUUGAAUAAGGAUUUAAAUUUUUGCCGUCUGUGGAAACAGUGACAUGCCACAUUGGUUAUCGCAUUGAAGAAGCGUUGAGUUACGUAUAAUUUGCGUUGGUUCACUAUUUUGGGUGAAUUCUGAAUCAAUUGGUGUGACACAUGUUCCAAGAGCACUUUUCACGUGCCCUCACUUUCCCAAUACAUUUCAGGUGUCCAAAUUUACAUCAAGCUGUGUUUUGUGCUUUCGUGAUCCAUUCCAAGACUUUUUGAG
rnacentral:lncRNA from 1 species